GCCGGAAUAGCUCAGUCGGUAGAGCAGCUGAUUCGUAAUUAGCAGGUCGGAGGUUCGAUUCCUCUUUCCGGCACCA
rnacentral:tRNA from 2 species